UUUUUCCCUGCAUAAAUACCUAGCCAGAUUUUGCUAAUGACUUCUUUUCUACAGCGAUUUGAGAUACUUUCAUUCUGGACUAAAUUCUGACCCUGUGUGUGUAGGAUCUGUUAGGGGUUUUUAACUUUCUUCAUUGUCAUUACUGAAGCAUAACACUAAGUAUAGCAUGAAUAAAAUUCUUCCUCCUCAUUAGGGAAAUCUGACCUCGAGUUAACCUGGUUUUAGCUUUGUGUCCCUGGAAACCCAAUAAUGGUGGAAUGACAGCUGUAUUACCAGGCGUUGUUACUUAGGAUCAAAAUGACUCUUUUUAAUCUGUACAAAUCAAGCAUUUUAUUUAUAUAGCAAGGAAGCACUCAUUUAUUCUCCAUUUAAAUACCACACUUGAGAUUUAAGAUCACGUUUGGCAGUGUACUGCAGGAUGCUAAAUAAGACUUCACUCAUAUGGCUUUGGAUUUCUUGAUACCUUGUUACAUUUUCCAUCAUCCACUGGAACAAUUAGUUCAGCUUCCUUAACCUAAACUCGAAGCUUCCUGGAUGUAAAAGCCACAAUGACUCUUGAUUGGUAAACAAACUGCACCUGGACUGGGAGGACUGUGAAUAACUGAAAAUAGCUGAUAGGAAGCCACCGAUUUGGGUUUUCCUGAGUCCAGUGUAACUCUCAUAACUGGGCAUGUCCUUUGCCAGGACCUUGGAAGAUGUGCUCAGGGGCCUGUUACAAGAGAUACUGGUACAUGGAGCAGCUUCUGGCUUCCAAGCCAGAUACUGCCUGCACUUGCCAGUGUGGCCCUGUUCCCGGGCACCUCAGGUGGGACGGGGCAGGUUGAGCUACUGGAUUGUACUGAGAACUCCUCUUGCUGGCGUCACUGCCCUUUGGCCCACUGUUUCCUGUCUCCCUCUGCAAAGCUGAGUAAACUGGUGCCACAUAUGGCCCAUGGGGGCCUUGUGGGUGCAAAAUGUCUCCUUGAAUUUAAGGCCACCAAGUGUGGGUGGGACAGGAUGGAAUCCAGAAUGUAAAUAGGUGGAUUAUUGCUCUCUGAUAGGAAUCCAGGCACUUAGAGAAGUAAAUUCUUAUUUGGUGGUGAUAAGAUCAAGUACAGACCUUUCCUUUUUUACCUCAAUCUGCUGACCAGGCCAGAUAUAGUCCUGUUCUUUGACUCAUGAUUGAUUGGAUAAUCAGCACUGUUGGUCGUGAUUGAGUAGCUGUGUUUCGAACUGUUUCUUCUAGAUCUACAUCCCCUUCAAAGCCUUCUCUGUCAGCCCUAAGCAGAACUGACGUCUCCCUAUUCUGGGUUCCCUGCCCUACCUCUGCCAUUGCCUCCUUCCUUUCCUCCCACCCUUUCAUGUAUGAGUUUGUAAGUGUUGUUUUUCUCCCUCUACUAGACUGUAUGUAGCUCCUUCAAUUCAGGAGGUGUUUGUUUUUAUUAACCUUUACAUCCUUAGAAUUUAUCAGCUUGCUCUCCAGUCAAUAAAUAUGUGUUGGAAGAAUGAAUUUCCAGGGUAAAAUAUUUCUAACACUCGAUCUCUUUCCCCAUAGAGUUUAAAAUAAUUUUAGUUACAUAAGCACCCUAUAUACUAUACUAUGUCAAAUUGUGGAUGGUGAAUAGCAUAAGAACAAUUACGUAGAGAAAGGCAAUUCAGUGUCUAAAAAGUGCGUGCGGAAACCAGACUGAAUGGACUUUAAUCCUUAAUUCCUACCUGUGUGAUCCUGAGCAGGUGACCUCACACUCUGUGAGCCUUCCUGUCCUCAUCUGUCAGGGUUCUCCUGGGUGGUGGGGAGGACUGAAAUCUUUCUACGUGUGAAGGACAUAGGAUGGGCACAGAGUGGGCACUUGAUGUAACAUACUGUCUCCAUCUGCAAGCCAAUCACUGGGCUAAAGAAGAGUGUGCUGUUGCAGGAAAUGUUGACCAUCAGGGAUGUGUUUGUGGACUUCACCCUGGAGGAGUGGCAGCAGCUGGACGCCACUCAGAAGAACCUCUGCAGGGAUGUCAUGCUGGAGAACUACAGCCACCUUGUCUCCGUGGGAUUCCUCGUGGCCCAACCAGGUAGGAUCUCCAGGUUGGGACAAGGAGAAGAGGAGGCCAGGAUGGCAGCUGGAGAAAGCGCAACACGGAGGUGUCCAGGGGGCUCGAGUUCGAUCCCUGGUCAGAGAACUAAGAUCCUGCAAGCCAGCUGGUACGGCGAAAAAUAAAAAAAAAAGGCAAGAUUCAAAGAGAGAAGUCUGAGGGCAAGUGCUUCAUUAAAAAGUGAGGGUCCCUUGCUGAGUUCCCAGACCUGAGCCAAAUUUUAGAUCUGGAACCAAUUGUCUAGAGAGGUGCCCAUGUCCCUUAUAGGAAGAACCCUACAACAUUGUAGCAAACAUAAAAUACUUAUCUUAGUCCCUUUCCGAGGGAACCUAUGGCCAUUUAUCUGGGUGACUAUGGUCAUUGGGGAAAAGGGAAUAUUUUUAGGACUAUUGGACACAGCUUUCUGAGUUGACAUUAAUACCCAGAUAUGCAAAGCAUCACCAUGGCCCUCCUGUUAAGAGUGGGGGCUUACUGGGUAGAGGUGUUACACUGAGUCCUCACUUAAACCUGAUUCACAGUGGCCCACUGCACACGCAGACCCAUCCAGUGGUGAUUUCCUCAGUCUCCUAGUGUACAAUUGGAAUUCAUAUACUUAUCAGUUGGACCAUUUACUACCUCUCUCCUCACCUGUAAAGUUUGUUAGCUGAUAAUUUAUGUAACAGUAUUCAGUGGUUACAGAAUAAAGAACUAUGGAGAUAACUUAUUUUUAUCCAAAAAAAUCACAUACAGAUAUUACAAUCACAGGAUACCCAUUUUUAAGAUGCAAAACAUAUACUCAAAACCAUACACUCAAACAACCACAUGGAAAAGGAAUAGGGAAUAUAUAGACAUAUGUGAAAAUGGGGUCCUUUUAAGAGGAGAAUUGUGUCACAUAUUAAAGACAAAGCUGAAUGGGAAAAUGGAUUGGAAGACAGAAUCAACUAUGCACAAGAUCAUUUUAUUGGUAGUUUCUGCAGACGACAUUUAAAAAAUUAAAAACUCAAUAAUCCUACCACCCAAGUGAUAAUCUGGAUAAUCUGCUUAAUAAUUUGUUGUAUUUCCUUCCGAGCUUUUUGUUCUGUGUCUACCUAUACACACACACCUACAACAGAUACAAAUAUAAAACAAAUAUAUUUGUAUACAUAUGUAUGUGCAAAUAAUUUUACUCAGCAUAAAACUGCUACUUUUCUGCCAUCCAGAGUCACUGAUAUAAUGGUGCAUUAUCCAUCCUUGAUGUAUUUUUUUAUAAUGUAAGUUAUGUGGUACAUUGUUUUAUGUUUUUUCACUUAGCCAAUUACCAUGAACAUUUCCCCAAAUCCUCAAACAUGAAAAAAUUUUUAAUUAGUGCAUACUAUUCUAUCUUAUUGAUAUGUCAGUUUUUAAUCAAUUGACUAUUGGAUAUUCAAUUUAUUUUUUUUCUAUUUUAAAUAGUAUUAUGUUAAGGGAGAUAAGCUGAAAAUUAAAGACCUUUUACUGACUAAUAAAAUGAGGCAUAAAUGUAACCAUAAAAUGAUUACCCUUAAAUAUUAAGUUAUAAGCACUGUUCCUAAGUGAGGUGUGUCAAAGCUUAAUAUAUGACUUUUCUGUAAGGGGUUUGCAUUUCUGCACUGAAAGUGUUGAUGAAUAUGUGUAAGAUCUCCUGUUUGAGCUCCUUUGUUUCAGGGAUCAUGAUGAGUCAUCCUCCGUCACACCACUUAAGGAAGCAAUUUUUCUAUUUUGUUUAAGAAGUAAACUGGGAGUUUGCCCUAGCUAGGAUUAACAAUUUUUGCUUUAUAUUUUUCUUUCAAAAAUGUCAUCCUCUACUCCACAGUGAACAUAUCUUAAUUAUUGAGUGCUUGUUUGCAACCUCUGCACCUUUCACACAAAAUGUGUGGUAUAGACUAUGGAACAUAUUUCUCUCAUAAUUUCUAACACAGUUUUCUAAACUCAUUAAAUUCUUUGUUUUUCCUCAGCAUAAAUACUCUGAUAGGUCAGCAAAAAUACUCUGAUAGGCAAGGAUAUUUAAAUUCUUUCUAAAGUCUUUUCCACAUCAAUAUAUUCACAGUUUUGCCACUUUUGAAUUCUCUGGUAUACAGUUCUCCACUUGUGUAAGAAUUCUGCGUGAAAAAUUGAUCACAUUUAUUAUAUCCUUCUGGAAUUAUACUUUUGUGCCUUUUAUUAAGUUAAAUGAACAUUAAUAUAUGAAGAGUUUUUGACACUUUUUGAUAUUUAUAAGGUUACUCCCCAGGAUGAAUUGAUAUAUAAUAUAAUGAGGUGUAACUAGUGAAAUUAUCUCACAGUAAAGUAUCUUAAUAGGUUUUCUCUCCUGUAUGACUUUUCUGAUGUUUAAUGAGAGUUGACUUCCCACUGAAGGCUUUGCCACAUUCUCUGCAUUCAUAAGGUUUCUCUCCUGUAUGAGUUCUGUGA